rnacentral:rRNA from 1 species
UACAGAGGGGGCAAGCGUUGUUCGGAAUUACUGGGCGUAAAGGGCGCGUAGGCGGCCUGCUAAGUCGAACGUGAAAUCCCCGGGCUCAACCCGGGAACUGCGUCCGAUACUGGCAGGCUUGAAUCCGGGAGAGGGAUGCGGAAUUCCAGGUGUAGCGGUGAAAUGCGUAGAUAUCAGGAGGAACACCGGUGGCGAAGGCGGUUCUCUGGGCAUUACCUGACGCUGAGGAGCGAAAGUGUGGGGAGCGAACAGG